UCACAUAACUGUAUCAGUUGCUAAGAAACAAGAGAGCAAGAGCAUGCUAAUAUACUAGUCACAUCUCUGUGGGCCUACCACUAGGAAAUGAUCAGCCACCAUGGGAAUUAAAUGCUGGAUUCACCUUUGAUCUAAUCCAGCCCUGUUCCAAUUUGUCCACAGUUAAACUAGAUUUCUAACACAAGAAACUAAUUUACAUAGAACUAGAAUGCAUCAACUGUGAAAGAAUUACGACAUAAAGGAUUGUGGUUGCUGGUUAAUCUAACGAAGUGUCUACUACACCAUGGUAUGGAUAAUGAAUGAAAAGAGGGUAACCAAGAAACUGAAAAAAGCAAAGAAGAGAACUACAUCCAACAAGUACCUUUUAUAUGGCAAGAAAAGCUGUACUGCUGAGCCUUUUAGGAUGUUCAGAUAAUCUUUUUGCCUUUUUUUUCAUUUUGCCAAAGAGUAGAAUUAAAAAAUGCUCCAAAAAUAUUUUUUCUUCAUACAUAUGCGAAGAUUAAUUCAUAACAAAUGAGCUAGACACUGACAUAAUAUCAAGUGUAUUAAACCUGCAGGCAUUUUA